GUCAGAUCAUUCUUGCUCUUCCUUCUGAGACCAAUGCUUGGUUGUGCUGUUUUGGGUUCCACGCCUCUUUGACUAGACAAGACAACACUGUAGAGGUUGCCCUCUAGUGGGUUCUUCAGACCACCACACACUGCCAGGAGAGCCCGGAAUUCUGGCAUCUCCAACUCCAACUGCUCGUCUCAUCACGGCUGCUGCUAAUGAAGGCGACAGAUGAUUAGAUAACAAGGCCCACCAUCUACGCACCUGUCGCUGUCUUCGAUGCCGGUCCUGACACAACCCGGUCCGCGGCAGGCCCGCAGGCCACGCCCCCCUCCACAAACGCAUAUAUUUGCAAGGCCAUUUUCAAGAAGGAUAUUUAAAGAGAGAAACUACAUCAUGUGAGACGAUGUCGGCCAACCCCGGAAGCUCCAAUGGGUUCUACAAAUUGUGAGUUGAGAGAUUUUAUUUCUUUAUGUUUUUCAAGUUUAAUAUUUUUUUUUGCAAUUUAAAUUUUGACAACCACAUAAGAUGUUUUAAUUGCUGAUGUGGGUUUAUUGAUUUUUAAAUGCGCCAGAAAAUAACCCGUUUUGUACACUGUUGAUGUGAUUCAAUGCGAGUAGUGGGUAAAUGUGUUCCUGUAUAGUAUUUCUCCAGCAAUGGUCAUGUGGUGGCAUCAAUGAUGGUAUUUUAAGAGGUAAUCAUUGGACACAGGAUAUCAUUAAAGGCCUAGGUGGGAAACUGGUCACAGGUGAACAGUUCUACCGCAUAAGAGCUGUUAAGGCUGCAGAACAACACUAAUCCCUAUCGUGCCUCACUGACUUCUGGGUUUGUAUCGCACCAGACGAACAAGCUGUGCAUCUCCAUGCGGUGGCUGUCAUGGCAACCACAAAACCUGCAUACAUGGCCUAGGAGUUGCCAAAGUGUGGAACAGUUAAUGUUCCCUCAGGAAAUACCAGUAGGUAGUACAGGGGUGUCAAACUUGUUUUCAUCGAGGGCCACAUUGCGGUCAUGGCUACCCUCAGAGGGCCGC